rnacentral:rRNA from 1 species
AACGAACGCUGGCGGCGCGCCUAAUACAUGCAAGUCGAGCGAGAAGGUGUAGCAAUACACUUGUAAAGCGGCGAACGGGUGAGGAAUACAUGGGUAACCUACCCUCGAGUGGGGAAUAACUAGCCGAAAGGUUAGCUAAUACCGCAUACGAUUCCAGGACUUCGGUCCUGGAAGGAAAGCACUACCGUGGGUAGUGCGCUCCUGGAUGGGCUCAUGUCCUAUCAGCUUGUUGGUGNGGUAAAGGCUCACCAAGGCUUCGACGGUAGCUGGUCUGAGAGGACGAUCAGCCACACUGGCACUGCGACACGGGCCAGACUCCUACGGGAGGCAGCAGUUAAGGAAUAUUGCGCAAUGGGCGACAGCCUGA